GGGUGCUUAGCUCAGUCGGUAGAGCGGCGCCCUUACAAGGCGUAGGUCGGGGGUUCGAACCCCUCAGCACCCA
rnacentral:tRNA from 1 species